GACGGGUGAGUAACACGUGGGUAACCUACCUAUAAGACUGGGAUAACUUCGGGAAACCGGAGCUAAUACCGGAUAACAUUUAGAACCGCAUGGUUCUAAAGUGAAAGAUGGUUUUGCUAUCACUUAUAGAUGGACCCGCGCCGUAUUAGCUAGUUGGUAAGGUAACGGCUUACCAAGGCGACGAUACGUAGCCGACCUGAGAGGGUGAUCGGCCACACUGGAACUGAGACACGGUCCAGACUCCUACGGGAGGCAGCAGUAGGGAAUCUUCCGCAAUGGGCGAAAGCCUGACGGAGCAACGCCGCGUGAGUGAUGAAGGGUUUCGGCUCGUAAAACUCUGUUAUUAGGGAAGAACAAAUGUGUAAGUAACUGUGCACAUCUUGACGGUACCUAAUCAGAAAGCCACGGCUAACUACGUGCCAGCAGCCGCGGUAAUACGUAGGUGGCAAGCGUUAUCCGGAAUUAUUGGGCGUAAAGCGCGCGUAGGCGGUUUCUUAAGUCUGAUGUGAAAGCCCACGGCUCAACCGUGGAGGGUCAUUGGAAACUGGGAAACUUGAGUGCAGAAGAGGAAAGUGGAAUUCCAUGUGUAGCGGUGAAAUGCGCAGAGAUAUGGAGGAACACCAGUGGCGAAGGCGACUUUCUGGUCUGUAACUGACGCUGAUGUGCGAAAGCGUGGGGAUCAAACAGGAUUAGAUACCCUGGUAGU
rnacentral:rRNA from 1 species